rnacentral:rRNA from 1 species
GACGAACGUUGGCGGCGUGCUUAACACAUGCAAGUCGAACGGAAAGGCCCUGCUUUUGUGGGGUGCUCGAGUGGCGAACGGGUGAGUAACACGUGAGUAACCUGCCCUUGACUUUGGGAUAACUUCAGGAAACUGGGGCUAAUACCGGAUAGGAGCUCCUGCUGCAUGGUGGGGGUUGGAAAGUUUCGGCGGUUGGGGAUGGACUUGCGGCUUAUCAGCUUGUUGGUGGGGUAGUGGCUUACCAAGGCUUUGACGGGUAGCCGGCCUGAGAGGGUGACCGGCCACAUUGGGACUGAGAUACGGCCCAGACUCCUACGGGAGGCAGCAGUGGGGAAUAUUGCACAAUGGGCGGAAGCCUGAUGCAGCAACGCCGCGUGCGGGAUGACGGCCUUCGGGUUGUAAACCGCUUUCGCCUGUGACGAAGCGUGAGUGACGGUAAUGGGUAAAGAAGCACCGGCUAACUACGUGCCAGCAGCCGCGGUGAUACGUAGGGUGCGAGCGUUGUCCGGAUUUAUUGGGCGUAAAGGGCUCGUAGGUGGUUGAUCGCGUCGGAAGUGUAAUCUUGGGGCUUAACCCUGAGCGUGCUUUCGAUACGGGUUGACUUGAGGAAGGUAGGGGAGAAUGGAAUUCCUGGUGGAGCGGUGGAAUGCGCAGAUAUCAGGAGGAACACCAGUGGCGAAGGCGGUUCUCUGGGCCUUUCCUGACGCUGAGGAGCGAAAGCGUGGGGAGCGAACAGGCUUAGAUACCCUGGUAGUCCACGCUGUAAACGGUGGGUACUAGGUGUGGGGUCCAUUCCACGGGUUCCGUGCCGUAGCUAACGCUUUAAGUACCCCGCCUGGGGAGUACGGCCGCAAGGCUAAAACUCAAAGGAAUUGACGGGGCCCCGCACAAGCGGCGGAGCAUGCGGAUUAAUUCGAUGCAACGCGUAGAACCUUACCUGGGUUUGACAUGGAUCGGGAGUGCUCAGAGAUGGGUGUGCCUCUUUUGGGGUCGGUUCACAGGUGGUGCAUGGCUGUCGUCAGCUCGUGUCGUGAGAUGUUGGGUUAAGUCCCGCAACGAGCGCAACCCUUGUUCACUGUUGCCAGCACGUUAUGGUGGGGACUCAGUGGAGACCGCCGGGGUCAACUCGGAGGAAGGUGGGGAUGACGUCAAGUCAUCAUGCCCCUUAUGUCCAGGGCUUCACGCAUGCUACAAUGGCUGGUACAGAGAGUGGCGAGCCUGUGAGGGUGAGCGAAUCUCGGAAAGCCGGUCUCAGUUCGGAUUGGGGUCUGCAACUCGACCUCAUGAAGUCGGAGUCGCUAGUAAUCGCAGAUCAGCAACGCUGCGGUGAAUACGUUCCCGGG